rfam:Salmo salar isolate Sally breed double haploid chromosome ssa24, whole genome shotgun sequence.
UGCAUGCAUGACUGUAAUUCGCUUUGGAUAAAAGCAUCUACUAAAUGCCAUACA